GAUGAACGCUGGCGGCGUGCCUAAUACAUGCAAGUAGAACGCUGAAGGAGGAGCUUGCUCUUCUGGAUGAGUUGCGAACGGGUGAGUAACGCGUAGGUAACCUGCCUGGUAGCGGGGGAUAACUAUUGGAAACGAUAGCUAAUACCGCAUGACAACAGUUAUUGCAUGAUAACUGUUUAAAAGGGGCAACUGCUCCACUACCAGAUGGACCUGCGUUGUAUUAGCUAGUUGGUGAGGUAACGGCUCACCAAGGCGACGAUACAUAGCCGACCUGGGAGGGUGAUCGGCCACACUGGGACUGAGACACGGCCCAGACUCCUACGGGAGGCAGCGGUAGGGAAUCUUCGGCAAGGGACGGAAGUCUGACCGAGCAACGCCGCGUGAGUGAAGAAGGUUUUCGGAUCGUAAAGCUCAGUUGUAAGAGAUGAACGAGUGUGAGAGUGGAAAGUUCACACUGUGACGGUAUCUUACCAGAAAGGGACGGCUAACUACGUG
rnacentral:rRNA from 1 species